rnacentral:tRNA from 1 species
GCCAGCAUGGCGGAAUGGCAGACGCGGCGGUCUCAAAAACCGUUGGGCGCAAGCUCGUGUGGGUUCGACUCCCACUGCUGGCACCA